CAUCGCGCCCAAGCAAAUCCCAUUCCGCGGGCCGGAUUCCCCACCACUUACCCACCCAAACCCUAGGUUUCCCAUGGUGCAAGCCGCACCCAGCUCCGCCACCGCCACCGCCACCGCCGCCCCCGUCCCCGACGCCGACCCCGCCACCCCGCCGUCCCGUCUCCUCUCGAAACAUCGCCCGCGACGCCGUGCAGCGCCCCCCCGCCCGACCUUGCCGCACCCCGCGCCCACGCGCGGCCUCCCCGAUCUGAACCGCUGCCACUGCUGCUCCGUUCGCUUCCAGCAGCCGGCGCCGGGCGCCAAGCGACGUCCACUCCGUCCCCUCCGCUCCCUCUGGCGCGUCGUCCUCCUCUGCUCUGAAUGUAUCUCCCUCCUUCGCUCUGGCGCCGUCUGCUCCUACUGCCUCAACCUGGACAACCUGCCGCAUGAUGACUCAGCCACCUGCCGCAGCUGCAAUUGCUGCGUCCACCGCCACUGCAUCCCCGCUGAGCACCGUACUGCCCUGAUCCAGCCUGUAGAUUUGGAGAAUUUCGUCUGCGUCGAUUGCUGCCCUACAGUAAAGGUGGGUAGCAAGAAUGUGGGCGCCGAAUCUGUUCCUAAGCUGGAGUUGGUCAUCAGAGAGCCUAGUCCUGCAGUGCGGAGGAAGGGGGGGCCUGUCGCUGCUGCUAAGUUGAAUUCGCCGAGGAAGGUUGUGGAGGAGGUGAGGCCAGCUUGGAAGGAUGCGAUGGCCCUCGUUCCUGUAGGCGAGGAGUCAGAGAGCAAGGGUCCCAGUGAUCCGGACCUGCCAGACGAGGCAUUGGCGCUGCAGCUUCAUUUGGCGAUCAACGGGUCACCGAGGAUUUCACGUUCUGGCAGUGCAUCUGUGUCUGUCUUGGCAGGGCAGGGCAAGAGGCAGGGCAAGAGGCAGAAUGGAUUGGUUUAUGGAAGGAAGGUUAAUGAGGAUCUGGGACUUUGUGUAACCAAUAUGAUGGAUCAUCUGGACUAUCUUGAGACCGGAGCAGAGAUGGGAAGCAACUGGAAUGCUAGUCAGGAUUUAGGAUCUGAUCCCACAGCCCCUGUGGUUCUUGCACUGGAGUGUAAAGGUAAACGCCCUCAGGAGAGUCUGAGAGGUGAAAGGAAAGGUCUUCCUGAGACUAAACAACAUAAUAGUUUGGUGGAUUGGCAUAAGGUGGAUCGGUAUGAGAAGAAGUAUAGCAAGAGGAAAUCAAGUAAGCAGACAGAUGUUGAAAGCACGGGAAACAAGACCUUGCCCAAUGGAAAGGACAUGGAUGUUGGUGAAGGUGGUGAGGGCAUAACUCCUAUGACAUAGACUGCUGCUUCUUUUUGGAGGUAAUUCGUGAUAACAGUAGUUUGCAUCCAGCAAUACAGGAUUGAAGCUAGCAACUUGUUGGUGGCUUUGAUAGCAACUACAAUCAAAGUUAUAGCUCGUCGCCAUGUCUUCUUCCUGCAACUCAGCUUGUCACCGCCAUUUCCAAUCCUAGGUAUCUCCUUCUAUGCCAUAUUAGUAUGGUCGCUACCUCCAUUAUUAGCCCAGCUUGUUUGAUUAUGUAUGGUUCUUGUGCAGAUUGGCAAAUAGUCGGGGUUGAGGAAAGGGCCGCCACCACAGCGAGGCGUUUCACAAAUCCAAAGGCAGCACACGGUGAGAAGAUGACCUGGUAUCAUCAAAGGUGUGAGGACGUUGGCGGGGUUUGGACUUGCAGAGGAUGGCAUUACAGUGGAUGCAGAUAUAAGAUGAUAAAAGGGCAAGCACAAAGCAAUCAGUGCCAUCAGGAAUUGCUAGCCAUUGCCUCAUUUGCUGUGACUGCAGUCUGUAGGUCUGGCCUAUAAUUUUUCUUGUCUGCAUUUUUAGGAAUUUCCUACUCAUCUGGAUAAGAGGGCCAUCAAAAUCACGAUAUAUGUACAUAUCUGUGUCUGGUGAAUUUGAAAUUGUGAGUCUUACCAGUGGCACCUUUUGGACCUUUUAUAUCCGUCCAGAUUCAGAACUGGACAUGAGGUUCAUCCAAACGUUUGGGAACUGCAGAAGGUUAAUCAAAAUGGUUUUUGCAAAAAAGUUAACUGGUGGCAAGCAUAAUGAAAAUGCUGAAAUGCAUGGUCUCGUUUGGCACAUAAGACGGCUAUCCAGAUUCCAGAGGCAAUAUUACUGCAUGAUGAUUUGGUUUGUAUCCCAAUCUCUAGUCAUGGAGUUAGUGCAAACAUAUCGGAAAUUACACUAAUCUCGUUUUCUGGUUCUGAUACCGGACGAGGACCUCAGUUUGGCUAAUGUGAGCAGUUUGGACUAAUGUGUUUGGAUCAUUCUCAUUUGUUUCCGCAUUGAUGGAUUUUCAGUUUUCCACUAAUGUGAGCAAAUCAGAAUAGGCUAGUUCACUUCAGAAUGCUGGAAAAUAUUAGCAACCCUGCCAUUACCAUCUACAGUACUAGGCUAAUUAUGGGUCACUUGCUGUAAGCAUGUGUAAUUGGUGCCUGAACUCCUUUGAAGUGCU